CUGUAAUGAAGAAGUCCAUCCACGAGGCGGUGAGCCGAGGGAAGCAUGCGGAUGCCCAUCAACUCCUGUGGAGUGCUACAAAGUAAUAAUGCUUUCUGGGGAGAGACUGACAGCAUACAGCAAAGGUUCUGUGAUGAAACAGAGAAUAGAGGGCACACAGCCUGUAUGCCCCAGAUUCUUGAGACAAGUUACCGAAGCUGGAAUCCAUGAAUGCACUAUGUGCUGCAGUAUGAGUUUGGGCACAUCAUCUCACCUGCCUGAGUCCCAUUUUCACAUCUUCAAAAUGAAAGAGUAAAAUCAUCAGGAUUAUGCCACAGUCCA